rnacentral:rRNA from 1 species
AGCAGCCGCGGUAAUUCCAGCUCCAAUAGCGUAUAUUAAAGUUGUUGCAGUUAAAAAGCUCGUAGUUGAAUUUCGGGAUCAAUAUGUCGGUCGUGCCUUGGUACGCACUGGUAUCAUUGGUCUCUCCUUUCUGACGAACCAUGAUGUCAUUAAUUUGGUGUUAUGGGAAGUUAGGACUGUUACUUUAGAAAAAAUUAGAGUGUUUAAAGCAGGCUUUAGCUUGAAUACAUUAGCAUGGAAUAAUGAAAUAGGACGUUCGAACCUAUUUUGUUGGUUUCUAGGAUCAACGUAAUGAUUAAUAGGGAUAGUUGGGGGCAUUAGUAUUCAAUUGUCAGAGGUGAAAUUCUUGGAUUUAUUGAAGACUAACUACUGCGAAAGCAUUUGCCAAGGAUGUUUUCAUUAAUCAAGAACGAAAGUUAGGGGAUCGAAGACGAUCAGAUACCGUCGUAGUCUUAACCAUAAACUAUGCCGACUAGGGAUCG